GACGAACGCUGGCGGCGUGCUUAACACAUGCAAGUCGAACGGAAAGGCCCUGCUUUUGUGGGGUGCUCGAGUGGCGAACGGGUGAGUAACACGUGAGUAACCUGCCCUUGACUUUGGGAUAACUUCAGUAAACUGGGGCUAAUACCGGAUAGGAGCUCCUGCUGCAUGGUGGGGGUUGGAAAGUGUCGGCGGUUGGGGAUGGACUCGCGGCUUAUCAGCUUGUUGGUGGGGUAGUGGCUUACCACGGCUUUGACGGGUAGCCGGCCUGAGAGGGUGACCGGCCACAUUGGGCCUGAGAUACGGCCCAGACUCCUACGGGAGGCAGCAGUGGGGAAUAUUGCAAAAUGGGCGGAAGCCUGAUGCAGCAACGCCGCGUGCGGGAUGACGGCCUUCGGGUUGUAAACCGCUUUCGCCUGUGACGAAGCGCGAGUGACGGUAAUGGGUAAAGAAGCACCGGCUAACUACGUG
rnacentral:rRNA from 1 species